GUGCUCACUUGAGCAGCACACAUACUAAAAUUGAAACGAUACAGAGAAGGUUAGCGCGGCCCCUAUGCAAGGACGACACGUAAAUUCAUGAAGCCUUUCAUAUAAAA
ensembl:snRNA U6 U6 spliceosomal RNA